UACCCGCAGCACAAGUGGUGGUCAUUAUUAUUGGGCCUAAAGCGUCCGUAGCUGGCUUGUUAGAUGCCUGGGUAAAUCGAUGCGCUCAACGUAUCGAAUUCCGGGUAGACCGGCAAGCUCGAGACCGGGAGAGGUGUAGGCUACUCGAGGGGUAGGGGUAAAAUCCUGUAAUCCUUCGGGGAGGACCAGUGGCGAAGGCGCUACACUAGAACGGCUCUGACAGUGAGGGACGGAAG
rnacentral:rRNA from 1 species